CCUACGGGUGGCUGCAGUGAGGAAUAUUGGUCAAUGGACGAGAGGCUGAACCAGCCAAGUAGCGUGAAGGAUGACUGCCCUAUGGGUUGUAAACUUCUUUUAUAUGGGAAUAAAAUGUUCCACGUGUGGAAUUUUGUAUGUACCAUAUGAAUAAGGAUCGGCUAACUCCGUGCCAGCAGCCGCGGUAAUACGGAGGAUCCGAGCGUUAUCCGGAUUUAUUGGGUUUAAAGGGAGCGUAGGUGGAUUGUUAAGUCAGUUGUGAAAGUUUGCGGCUCAACCGUAAAAUUGCAGUUGAAACUGGCAGUCUUGAGUACAGUAGAGGUGGGCGGAAUGCGUGGUGUAGCGGUGAAAUGCUUAGAUAUCACGAAGAACUCCGAUUGCGAAGGCAGCUCACUGGACUGCAACUGACACUGAGGCUCGAAAGUGUGGGUAUCAAACAGGAUUAGAUACCCCGGUAGUC
rnacentral:rRNA from 1 species